GGGGUGCCCCAGAAGGGCCCGGGGCUCUCUGCCACCACGCCAGUUGAGAAGCCACCAUCUGCAAAGUCUUGACGCUGUGUGAUGGUCUGUUGCUUCCCGCAGAGGAGAGCUGCUCUCCACUCCACACCCGCAGUGAGGCCAGGAACCCCACCUCCCUCCCGGGGUUGGGUUUUACCCUCAGACAAGGCGCGCUCCCAGUGGGAUGACUGGGUGAGCCUGGGAGGGCCCUGGCUCCUGGUGUAUUUAGGACAGCAACAGGCCACCAUCCUGGCUUCCCAGUCCGUACACCAAACCCAGAUAGUUUCUCCCCCACCAUUUCCCCUCUAACCCAUAUAUAAUGAUGUUUUUCUUCUUUUUCUUUCUUAGGAGAAGGAUUGAAGAGCUGCAGGGACACACCUAAGGCAUUGUUAGUAAAAGCUCCGGAAGAGACCACGAACCCUGUUAGGAAUGAGCAGAAUCAAAAUUAGGGAAUGGAUGAAUAAGUGAGUACAACCACUACCAAGUAAGUACCUGCUAUGGGUCAGGUGCUGCGCUAAGCACUAUAUCCACAAUUUCCCACUGAAUUUUCUUAAUGAUUCUAUCACAAGAGCAACUUUGUCUUUCAGAUGAGGAAACUGAGGUUCAGAAAGGAUGAGAAUAUUGCUCAAAAUAAUUCAGUUAAUAAAUGAUGGGGCUGGGAUUUCAGCUUGACUCCUUCAACUCCAAAUCCCCUGCUCUUUGACCACCACCAUGCUGACGAGAAGUGGGGAACUUGGGGGCUUGGACAGGGAGGCAUGGCAUUGAGCGCCCCCUGGUCACUCCCUCAGGGGCAAGGCUGCUUUCGUGCUGGGGCUGGGUGUUCGCAACUGGAGGUGCCACAAUUGGCCUAUGUUGUUCCCUCCAUGUAGCAUCUGCCUUGUAUGUCCUCCUGUUUCCCCACAUGGUUUUGAAAUCUACUUCUUUAACAGUUAGAGCAAACAGAUGUGGAGAAGCAAUUCCUGAAGAGAUAGACCACUGGCAAAUGUCAGAACACACGUGGUUUCUGGAAGCUUCCCAAGGGGCUGCUUUUUCACAUAGGAACAGUGGCACCCCAACCACUAGAGGAACACUGCGUUUUGAAAGAAGAUUCUAAUCAAAGAAGAUUCUUACCUCAUUAGAAUUCACAUGGAAGGAGUUCCACAUGGAAGGCCCGGUCUGGAGUAAGUGUGAAAAGUGCAUCUUUCCAGCGUUUCUCAAAUGGUACUCCAUCAUAUGCCUUGACAUUCAAUCAGUCUCAUCACCAAAACCAAGAGUGGCUGGACCUCAAAGAAUGGGGACUUUGAGGAAGCUGAGAAAAAAGCGUCUGGGAUGCGAUUUCACUUCACCCAAAUCUCCUGUGAGCCUCUAGUUAUUCUCUCCUGAAUGCAAGGCCUACGAAAAGCGGUCUUGAGUCACAGCCCGGAAGGCCGAGUUCUUGUAGGACAAAAAUUAUCCCAAUCAACUGCUGGCCCUGCUGGGCCCAUCUGUUAUUGGAAUUAAGUCCUUCUUUUCAUUUAACUCAAACUGAAGAAACUUUCUGGCAAGGUGUCAGGUUUCAAACAGAAAUGUCAGCCAAGGGCUUGUGAGGCCAAGGUCUGAGCAAACUUGAAUCAAUUUAUGCUUUGGGUAAGAAUUCACUUGGAAUUUAGUGGUCUGGUGGGUCCAUUUGUGAAAUGCCCCUCAUUUGCAAGUGCUGGACUAAAUCUUGCUAGGAGCUGGGUAUAGAGUCAACAUCAGAGGCCCAUGUGACUUCUACCCUAUGUGAGGGUUAGCAGUAAAUGGGUUGCGGGGCAGACUAGAGUGAUCUUCCCCAGCAUAAGAGCAGAAAAGAACUGGGACAUGUUCUAAGUUCUAAUUUAAACCUUGCUCUAUGUAUGAACCAGUCAAAACUAACCCUAUUGAUGAUAAUAACAGCAAGAGCCUUUAAUGAAUACUUACUAUAUGCCAGGCUCUGUGCUAGGUACCUUACAUUUACUGAUCAAUGAAUCCUCUUGAUAAUUACACAAAAUGGAUUUUAUUAUUUUCUCUAUUUCAUAGUUGAAAAUAAAGCAGAGAAACAGAGCUUCAGAAACAUGCACCAGCUUAAAAAGUAAUAAUCCUCACCUGAGGAUAUGUUUUAUUGAUUUUAGAGAGAGAGGGAGGGAGAGAGAAAGAGAGAAACAUUUAUGUGAGAGAGAACCAUCGAUUGGUUGCCUCCCAUGGGCACCCUGACCAGGAAUUGAACCCACAACCUUUUGGUGAAUGGGACAAUGCUCCAAGCAAAUGAGGCACUCGGCCAGGGCUGCACCAGCUUUUGGCCAGCAAAGACCAGCAUUUGGACUAUUUGCCUCCAGAACAUCUGCUCUUAAUGCUUGUCAGGAACUGACUGGGUAAUGAGCCCACAUGCAGGAAUAUAAAUAAGCUCACUGCAGGUGUAGUUGAAAUAUCACACCCUGUACAGCACUUUUCAGAACUCAGACUCCAUUUUGGUGUCAAAGAUAUAUAAGCCUCAUAGAAAAACUUGAUUUUUUUCCCCUCCUAGCUCUCAUAUAAAGAGAAAGCACUAAGAUAAUUAACUGGAAAAUCAAGUCUCCAAGUUUUUGUACCUCAUACCAGUACACUGGACUGGCCAACAUUCCUCCUCAUCCCAUGGGGUGCUGAAGACUUAUUUAAAUCACUUUUUUUGCACUCUUAGCAUUUGGGUGAAGAUACACCAGGGAUUGUCUAGGAUUCGGACAGCUUUGAAGAUCAGCAUAAAAAGCAACACAGCAGUAAGAAGAAGCCCUGAUGGGGGUUGGCAGGCCUCAGCCACCCACUAAGUGAUUUAUGACUAUACACAUGCUCUUUGCAGCAGGCUUGACUCAAACCCAAACCUAAUCAACAGAUAUAUGAAAAGAUGCCCAACUCCAGGAAUAGGGAUGGAAAUGCAAAUUAAAUGACAUUUUUCACAUAUUAAUUUGUCGAAAAUUUCUAACUUGGAUAAUAUCAAUCAUAGCAACAAUAAGGAGAAACGGGUACUUUCUGCUGAUGAAAAUAUGCAUUGGAACAGUCAUUUUGGAAGUAUUAAAAAUGUACACCCCCUGUGAGCCAGCAAUUCUUUUUUGGUAUCUACCAUUAAGAAACAUUUAUACAUAUUCAUAAGAAUGUGCAUUGCACCAUCAUUUGUGCUGUCAAAAAAAACUAGAGAUACCACGCAAUGUUACACCGGCAGCUCAUAAAAAGGUAGAUCUCUAUGUCCUGAUAAUAAAAAUUCUUCAGUUAAAAACCCACACAACAUGGUGUCAUCCAAUGCUAUUAACACACCCCCAGGCAUACACACAUGUAUAGAAAUAAAUGGAAAAACACAAACUCAUAGGUGAGAUUAGCUCUGGGGAACUCCAGGGAUGACACAGUGGUCAUGUGUACCACCCAACAUUCAUUCACUCAGCAAGUACUGUCUAGAACAUUCUGUGCCAGGCACUGAUGCUGCUUUGUAAUCAAGAAAGCAGACAUAUGUCCUUGCAACCAUGAUUGUUUUGUUAUGUAUGUUUAUAGAAUAAGAAUGCACUCAUAUGUAAUUUGUGUAAGUAAAAAUAAGUAAAAAUAAAAGCAAAUUAAAUACACAUUUUUAUAUUAAUAAAGCAGCAAGUGACUAUUUACUUUGGCUUCUGGCAGUCCUUGCGAGCAGUCCCAGCCAUAAAUCACUGCUAUGGCUACUGUAAUCCCUAAAGGGUUCCCUUUGGAUGGUUGGCACAGACAGGGGUGCAGUGACAGCCUCGCAUAGCACAGACUUGCACAGAGGUUGUUCAUUCCUUCCAUUAAUAUUCCUUGGGAGCAUCAUUAGGCACAAAAUAUGAGUAAAUCCCCAUCAAUUAUAUGCAUAUUCACCAAAAGACAUAUACGGGAAUGGUCUUAGCAUCACGAUCAAGAGCAGCCCCCAAAUGGAAACCACCUAAAUGUACUAUACUCACACAAAAGAAUACUGUAUGCCAAUGAAAAUCAAUGUAUUAAAACCAUAUGCAACAAUGUUGAUGAAGCUCUCCAAUAUAGUGUUGAAUGAAGGAAGCCUGGUACAAGAAUCACCUCCUGCAUAAUUCCAUUUCUAUGACAUUCAAUGACAGGCACAGAGAACAUACAACACUAGAAGGCAGGAUGCCCACUACUCCUGGCCGGGAGGAAUACACAGGGUGCAUUGUGGAGACUUUGAGGAGUGCUAGAGAUGUUCAGCUUGCUCUGUGUGCCAGUUAUGGCGAAUGGUUAGUUUAUAAAAAUUUGUUGAGUUUUACAGUUAUGAUUUUUAACUUCUUUGUACGUAUAUUCUACUUCCUUCGAUAGUUUAAAAAAAAUUAAAACAUAAAACCCUAAAAUCCAA